rnacentral:rRNA from 1 species
AUUGAACGCUGGCGGCAUGCCUUACACAUGCAAGUCGAACGGCAGCACGGGAGCAAUCCUGGUGGCGAGUGGCGAACGGGUGAGUAAUAUAUCGGAACGUGCCCAGUAGUGGGGGAUAACUGCUCAAAGAGCAGCUAAUACCGCAUACGACCUGAGGGUGAAAGGGGGGGAUCGCAAGACCUCUCGCUAUUGGAGCGGCCGAUAUCAGAUUAGCUAGUUGGUGGGGGAAAGGCCUACCAAGGCAACGAUCGGUAGUUGGUCUGAGAGGACGACCAGCCACACUGGGACUGAGACACGGCCCAGACUCCUACGGGAGGCAGCAGUGGGGAAUUUUGGACAAUGGGCGCAAGCCUGAUCCAGCAAUGCCGCGUGCAGGAAGAAGGCCUUCGGGUUGUAAACUGCUUUUGUCAGGGAAGAAAUCCUCUAGGUUAAUACCCUUGGGGGGAUGACGGUUCCUGAAGAAUAAGCACCGGCUAACUACGUGCCAGCCGCCGCAGUAACAC